AUUGAACGCUGGCGGCAGGCCUAACACAUGCAAGUCGAACGAGUGGCGGACGGGUGAGUAAUGUCUGGGAAACUGCAUGAUGGAGGGGGAUAACUACUGGAAACGGUAGCUAAUACCGCAUACCAUCAGAUGUGCCCAGCUGGGAUUGGCUUAUUGGUGGUGUAACGGCUCACCAAGGCGACGACCCCUAGCUGGUCUGAGAGGAGGACCAGCGACACUUGAACGUUGCCACGGUCCAGACUCCUAUGUGAGUCAGCAGUGGGGAAUAUUGCACAAUGGGCGCAAGCCUGAUGCAGCCAUGCCGCGUGUAUGGAGAAGGCCUUCGGGUUGUAAAGUACUUUCAGCGGGGAGGCGUUACCCGAAGAAGAAGCACCGGCUAACUCCGUGCCAGCAGCCGCGGUAAUAC
rnacentral:rRNA from 1 species